CAGCCGCCACGGUAAUACGUAGGGUGCGAGCGUUAAUCGGAAUUACUGGGCGUAAAGCGUGCGCAGGCGGUUGUGUAAGACAGGUGUGAAAUCCCCGGGCUUAACCUGGGAACUGCGCUUGUGACUGCACAGCUAGAGUAUGGCAGAGGGGGGUAGAAUUCCACGUGUAGCAGUGAAAUGCGUAGAUAUGUGGAGGAAUACCGAUGGCGAAGGCAGCCCCCUGGGAUAACACUGACGCUCAUGCACGAAAGCGUGGGGAGCAAACAGGAUUAGAUACCCCGGUAGUCCCUGUCUCUUAUAC
rnacentral:rRNA from 1 species